AGCGAACGCUGGCGGCAGGCCUAAUACAUGCAAGUCGAACGGAUCCUUCGGGAUUAGUGGCGGACGGGUGAGUAACACGUGGGAACGUGCCCUUUGGUUCGGAACAACUCAGGGAAACUUGAGCUAAUACCGGAUAAGCCCUUCGGGGAAGGAUUAUCGCCAUUGGAGCGGCCCGCCGUCUGAUUAGCUAGUUGGUGGGGUAAAGGACCUACCAAGGCGACGAUCAGUAGCUGGUCUGAGAGGAUGAUCAGCCACACUGGGACUGAGACACGGCCCAGACUCCUACGGGAGGCAGCAGUAGGGAAUCUUGCGCAAUGGGC
rnacentral:rRNA from 1 species